rnacentral:tRNA from 1 species
GCCCUCUUGGCGGAAUAGGCAGACGCAUCAGACUCAAAAUCUGACGAGGAAACUCGUACCGGUUCGACCCCGGUAGAGGGCACCA